UCAAUGAAGUUAUGGGAAAGAGUUUUUGAAGUCAGACUGAGGUUAGAAGUGUGCAUCUGUGAGCAGCAGUAUGGUUUCCUACCGCUGAUCACGGCAGAAAAACGUACUACAGAUUCAGUCUUUGCAGAUUUUGAUAGAGAAGUGCAGAGAAGGUCAGAGAGCGCUGCAUUGUGAUUUUAUAUGUAACCCAUGUUAAUUUAACAAAUAUGAAUUAUAGCCUGUAGUACACUACAUGGUCGAUAGGUGGCAGUAAAUGGUUUCAAGUAGUCUAAAACUACAUUGAUAUGCCGCAGAAUAUGGACUAGAAUAACCAGAAGAAGAAACUGGAAGAAACGUUUUGUGGUCAUUUUAUUGACAAAACUCUGUGUUAUUUUCAAUAUUUUUCAAGAGCUAGUUUUCAUCUAUGGUUGAUUUUUCGAUUCUUGUGUAACCGGACCCGGAAGAACUUUGUUUUUGAUAUUACAUUUAUUUGUUUUUUGAUGCGAAUCUCCGGUUGUUUUUUUUGUGUUGAGAGACAUCGUGUGAAGAACGGCGAGCCAGGAUCCAAAAGAGCAGAUUGAGAUUGUGUCCACUACGACGUCAAAGAAGAACCUUCUUCUGUUCCACUUGAUCGGUGGGAUUGCACAUAUUAACACUACCCGGGUAGCUACCAUAUAACAUUCAGAUCUGAAAACUGAAUUGAACU